UGUUCAUGUUCUAUCAAUGAUAUGUUUCUAUCAGCUUGAAGGAUGUUUUACUUGUUUGUGUUGGAUUGUUAUUUGAUAUUUUAGUUUAAUGUGCACUUUUUAUAUGUUGUUGCCUAGGGUCUAUUGAUGAUAUGUUUCAAUCCCUGAUAGUCUUGGAAGAUGUUUAGCCCCUUUGACUUGAAAAGUUAGUAGAACUUCUAGUUUAAUUUGGAUUUUGUGUGUUAUGUUGCUUAGGGUCUAUCAAUGAUAUGUUUCUAUCACUGAUUGACGAUUUUGGAGGAUGUUUAACUGCUUUAUGUUGGAAUGUUUAACUUGUUUGUUUGGCAUGCUGAUCUAUUUUAGGUUUGUGUGUUAGUGCUUAGGGUUAGGGUUUAUCAGUGAUAUGUUUGUAUCACUGAUAGUUUUGAGGGGUGUUUAGUUUGUUUGCAUUGGGAUGUUAGUAGAUAAUUUAGUUUAAUGUAUAUUUUUAUGUGAUGUUGUUUAUGUUCUAUCAGUGAUAUGUUUCUAUCAACUUGAAGGAUGUUUUACUUCUUUGUGUUGGAUUGUUAUUAUAUGUUUGUAUCACUGAUAGAUUUGAGGGAUGUUUGGUUCAUCGGAUUUAUGCGUUUGUUGUAAUUUUAAUAGAUGGAUAAGAAAACAAAUAUUAUAGAAAGCGAACCAAAUGAAAAAGGUGCAAAAAGAGCAGACACAUGAAGCUUCAUCAAGCAAAAAGAAGAUUAAAAAAGAGAAGCUAUCUAUGAUCCCCAUUGUUGCAUUAGAAGAAGAAAUGAAAUCUGCGUACUUCAGAUAUUUUGUGGAAUUAGAAAAUGAAAGAUUGGAUGAAGAAGCAUGUGCUGUGAAGGAUAAAAAUAUGGAAGAAAGAAUAUCUUCUUUACAUGAAGAUAUUGAAGAUUAAAAAAAAACAGCACAAAGAAGAUUUAGACUACCUGAAGAAGGGACAAGAGGAGAUCGUUUGUUUGUUACUUUCACUAAUAGAAGUUGUAAAUCAAAGACUUCCGCAUAAAUGUGAAAGUGAAAAACAAUCUCAAGAGCACUUGAAAAAGAAUCCUCCUCCAUCAAUGAGUUUAGAAAUGAUAAAUGUUGAUGUUGAUGCUAACGUUGAUAAAGCAAGCGCUUAUGCAAAAGAGAAAGAGAUUGAAGAUAACGAGGAAACUGAGGAAGAUGAUAAUCAUCGUGAAAAUAAGUCAAAAAUGGUGCAUGACACAUCAAACAAAGUGAAGGUUGUUCAAGAAAAGAAAAAAGUGAAAAUUAUGGAAAUAGAGAACCUCGAUAAAGUGGGACACAUCAACCUCAAUCGUUGAGGGAACCUAGACAAAGUGGGAGGGUUACAAACUUAACUAUUUGUUAUAUGAGUUUAACUGAAACAUUAACUAUCAUAUCUGAUGGCAACAUUGAGGAUCCAUUGACUUUUAAGAGGAUGUGGAUAAAGAUGAAUGGGUCAAAGCUAUGAAUCUUGAAUUGGAAUCUAUGUACUUCAAUUUAGUCUGGGAUCUUGUAGAUCAACAUGAUGGGGUAAAACCUAUAGGUUGUAAAUGGAUCUACAAGAGAAAAAGGGGUGUAGAUGGUAAGGUACAAACUUUUAAAGAUAUAUUAGUCGCAAAAGAUUAUACCCAAGUUGAGGGAGUUGACUAUGAGGAGACUUUCUCACCUGUUGCCAUGUUAAAGUCUAUUCGAAUACUCUUGUCCAUUGCUGCAUAUUUUGACUAUGAGAUUUGGGAAAUGGAUGUUAAGACUGCCUUUUUAAAUGACAAUCUUGAGGAGACCAUCUAUAUGCAACAACAAGAAGGAUUCAUAACUCUAGAUCAAGAGCAAAAGAUUUGUAAGCUUAAUCAUUCUAUUUAUGGAUUGAAACAAGCUUCUCAAUCUUGGAACAUAAGAUUUGAUACCGCAAUAAAAUCUUAUGGAUUUGAUCAAAUCGUUGAUGAACCUUGUGUCUACAAAAGAAUCAUCAACAAUUCAGUAGCUUUCUUAGUUCUGUACGUAGAUGAUAUUCUACUAAUUAGAAAUGAUGUAGGUUUACUAACUGACAUCAAAAAAUAGCUAGCAGCCCAAUUUCAAAUGAAAAAUUUAGGAGAGGCACAGUUUGUUUUGAGUAUUCAGAUCUUUAGAGAUCGUAAGAACAAAACGCUAGCUUUGUCUCAAGCAUCGUAUAUUGAUAAGAUAGUUGUUAAAUAUUCAAUCCAAAACUCCAAGAGAGGCUUACUACCUUUCAGGCAUGGAGUUACUUUGUCUAAGGAACAGUGUCCUAAGACACCUCAAGAGGUUGAGGAAAUGAGACAUAUCCCCUAUGCAUUAGUUGUUGGCAGUUUGAUGUAUGUUAUGUUAUGUACUAGACUUGAUAUCUGUUAUGUGGCGGGGGUAGUCAGUAGAUAUCAAUCUAAUCCAGGAUUAGCUCAUUGGACUGCCGUUAAAACUAUCCUCAAGUAUCUUAGGUAAAAUGAGGGACUACAUGCUUGUGUAUGGUUCUAAGGAUUUUAUUCUUACAGGAUAAUAAGACUCUGAUUUUCAAACUGAUAAAUAUUCUUGGAAAUCUACUUCAGGUUCAGUGUUCACUCUUAACGUAGGAGCUGUAGUUUAGAGAAGUGUCAAGCAAGGAUGUAUUGCUGACUCCACCAUGGAGGCAAAGUAUGUAGCAGCUUGUGAAGCUGCCAAAGAGGUUGUUUGGCUUAGAAAAUUCUUGACUGAUUUGAAAGUAGUUUCAAACAUGACAAAGCCAAUUACUCUUUACUACGAUAACAGUGGGGCUGUGGCUAAUUCUAGGGAGCCCAGAAGCCACAAGCGUGGAAAGCAUAUUGAACGCAAGUAUCACUCGAUUCGAGAGAUAGUGCAUCGAGGGGACGUGAUCAUCACAUAGAUAGCUUCGAUGCACAAUGUUGCUGAUCUGUUUACAAAGCCCCUCAUGGCUAAGAUGUUUGAGGGUCACCUAGAGAGUCUGGGUCUACGUGACAUGCCACAUUUAAUCUAGGACAAGUGGGAGAUUUACUAGGUGCGUAUUGUAUGCCCUAAUUUCUUGUUUUGUGUACUAUUAUAGUAUUUUAACUUUUAUGUUCUAC